GACGAACGCUGGCGGCGUGCUUAAAACAUGCAAGUCGAACGGAAAGGCCCUGCUUUUGUGGGGUGCUCGAGUGGCGAACGGGUGAGUAACACGUGAGUAACCUGCCCUUGACUUUGGGAUAACUUCAGGAAACUGGGGCUAAUACCGGAUAGGAGCUCCUGCUGCAUGGUGGGGGUUGGAAAGUUUCGGCGGUUGGGGAUGGACUCGCGGCUUAUCAGCUUGUUGGUGGGGUAGCGGCUUACCAAGGCUUUGACGGGUAGCCGGCCUGAGAGGGUGACCGGCCACAUUGGGACUGAGAUACGGCCCAGACUCCUACGGGAGGCAGCAGUGGGGAAUAUUGCACAAUGGGCGGAAGCCUGAUGCAGCAACGCCGCGUGCGGGAUGACGGCCUUCGGGUUGUAAACCGCUUUCGCCUGUGACGAAGCGUGAGUGACGGUAAUGGGUAAAGAAGCACCGGCUAACUACGUG
rnacentral:rRNA from 1 species